rnacentral:rRNA from 1 species
UACGAAGGGGGCUAGCGUUGCUCGGAAUCACUGGGCGUAAAGGGUGCGUAGGCGGGUUUUUAAGUCAGGGGUGAAAUCCUGGAGCUCAACUCCAGAACUGCCUUCGAUACUGAGAGUCUUGAGUCCGGGAGAGGUGAGUGGAACUGCGAGUGUAGAGGUGAAAUUCGUAGAUAUUCGCAAGAACACCAGUGGCGAAGGCGGCUCACUGGCCCGGUACUGACGCUGAGGUGCGAAAGCGUGGGAGCAAACAGG